rnacentral:lncRNA from 1 species
AGGGUGUGUAGAAUCGUUCGAUUCUCUUCACUGUCGUGUUAGGACAGUGUUUUCGGUUUGUUAGUUGUUUGUUUUUCUGUUUUUCCAUUUUCCCCUUUGGAACUCUUUUUAUACGGAGUUCCUUUCCCUUUUCCCAUUAUCAGAAACAAUAAACGCUCAUGCUCAUUUUGAAUAUACUGCAAUCCAAUAAAAUGUUAAGUUUUUCUUACCUAUCUCAACACGAUCUUCAUCUUUCUCUUCUGCGUCGACGUCAACCGCCGUCGUAUCGGAGCUCUGCCGGCCACCGUCGCUCGCUUCUCUCUCUGUCGCUAGAGGAAGCUUCGGGUUGCCUCUCUCUCUCUCUCUUUACUCUCAUCUUCAAAUCUGCCACACACGCAUUCUUUUGCUUUCCAUAUACUUCGUUCGCGGG